AGGGUCUGUGGCAGAGGGGAAGUGGGAGGUUGUGGGUGUAUGGCAGAGAUUGGUCUUAAUGGGGUUACAUUGGAAAAAUGGAGCUUAUAUGGGGACCCUGGGGGCAGUGAGGUAUGUGACAAGGGGAGACUAAAGCUGAGGGUGACAGCGUCUGCGGCAGACAUAUAGCUGGAGAGGUAUGAGGGGGAGAUUUUGAGGGAGAAUGGGAUGGAAGUUUGGGGUCUUGGGGAGGGGAAGAAAUUGAAAAGGUGGAGACAUAUAUAGGAAUAUGGGGUUUCUGGAUGAAAGGAAUUUGGAGGUGAUUGGUAUUAGGAACAUAAUAAUGUAAGAAUUUAGGGGUGAUGAUGGAGAGCUGGAGAGAGUCAGUCUGAAGGUGUCAGCAUGGAGAGAAGGAGAAAGCUCUGCUGUCCAGUAUCACCAACUUCUGGGUGCUCUUUCUUCUCUCCCCUCAUACGGACGAGAGAAAGACUCUUCAGACACAACAAUGCACUGUGAAUCAGACUUUAAUGGAGGUGCUCAUUGCAACGCCACAGACGUGGUGGCAACUGUGGAGCGUGGCACAGGGGAGCAAGACAUUGCUCUGGUGCAGCUGGAGGAAGAACAGGAAAGCCGGGGCUGGGGAGAGAGCGACGAGGAAGAAGUCCCCGGGCAAACAGCCCCACUUUGGACUGAGCCGGCUUCGGUUAAGGGCUGGUAGACACGAAGGAACUGAUGGCAAGACCCUUUUCUGUUACCCUGCCGUUCCAAUGCCAGCAAGACCUCCCACCCCAGGCCAUCUUGGAAUCUACAGCCCCAUGAAAUACACAGGCGCACACAAGUAAUCUCCAGUCAGGCCAGGUUUUGGCUCUGGAGUUGUGAAGAAAUGAUGAAUUAAUUAACAAGAUGAAUGAACAAUAAAUAAACAAAUAAAUAAUUCAUUGAAAUCUUAA